AACGAACGCUGGUGGCGUGGAUAAGACAUGCAAGUCGAACGGGACAGACCGAGUAGCAAUAUUUGGAAUGUUCAGUGGCGAACGGGUGCGUAACACGUGGAUAACAUUCCGGAAAGCGGGGAAUAGCCCAGGGAAACUUGGAUUAAUACCGCAUGUGGCCGCAAGGCUAAAGACGGGGACCGCAAGGCCUGUCACUUUCCGAUUGGUCCGCGGCCUAUCAGCUAGUUGGCGGGGUAAUGGCCCACCAAGGCUACGACGGGUAGCUGGUCUUAGAGGACGACCAGCCACACUGGAACUGAGACACGGUCCAGACACCUACGGGUGGCAGCAGUCGAGAAUCUCUCACAAUGGGGGCAACCCUGAUGGAGCGACGCCGCGUGGAGGAUAAGGUCUUCGGAUUGUAAACUCCUGUCAUGCGAGAACAAGGUACUCAGGCUAAUAACCUGAUUGUUUGAUGGUACCGCAAGAGGAAGAGACGGCUAACUCUGUGCCAGCCGCCGCAGUAAAAC
rnacentral:rRNA from 1 species